UACAGAGGUCUCAACCGUUGUUCGGAUUCAUUGGGCGUAAAGGGUGCGUAGGCGGUCGCGUAAGUCAGGUGUGAAAUCCCGGGGCUCAACCCCGGAACUGCACUUGAUACUGCGUGGCUAGGGUACUGGAGAGGAGACUGGAAUUUACGGUGUAGCAGUGAAAUGCGUAGAUAUCGGGAGGAACACCGGUGGCGAAGGCGGUUCUCUGGGCCUGACCUGACGCUGAGGAGCGAAAGCGUGGGGAGCGAACAGG
rnacentral:rRNA from 1 species